rnacentral:antisense_RNA from 1 species
AGAACACUGGGGAGACUAGAUCGAUAGGGCUGCACAGAGGUGGCACAGUUGUGCCAGAGGGCCAGACUUUGGCAGCGUGUAAGGUCUGAGGACAGGGGCACCGGAGGCCGAGGAUGAGAGGCCAGUGCCUGUUUCCAGGCAGCCAGGGCCUCAGAAACUCCGGCCGGAGCACUCACCCGUCGGUGGAGGCCGUUACCAGGGCCACCUUAUUUGCGAGCGGGUCCCGGCGGGUCAUCCCGGAGCUGGCCAUCCGCACCGAAUUCCAAGCCCGGGCACAGAGGCCUAGCAGCCCCGCCUUGUGCAUGGAUCAGACCAGCAAGUGCCACUUCGGAUAAACCCUUUGGACUCCUAACUCCAAUCAGGUGUCUGCUUUGUUGAGGACUCACAGACACAGUCUCCUUUCUUCAAGAUCUUUACAAUGCAAGACCUCACUAACACACAGGGAUGGUCUCCCAGAGGGUCUGUGCUGUUCCUUCACUCAGAACAUCAAGAUGCACUGAAGUAAGGAUCCUCUAUUCUACAGUUCCUGCUAGCUGAGCUAUUCCAUGGGGGCUUCAGCAGGAAAUUCCAAGGUUGGCUUUGACAAGCUAAGGCCGGCUGGUGGAGCACAUCGAGUUCUGGAGGUUCAUGUGUGUUUUCAUGAAGAUCUGUCUGCCCGUAGCAGAUAAAGAGUUGUUGCCCCACUCCUCCUGGGGUCUUCUAUUUUCCUGGGAGGAAUUUCUGGAUUAACUGAACACACACACACACACACACACCCUUUUGAAGCAUCAACAGUAAUUCUGAGUUCUUAGGGACAAUGCAGAUUAAAUCCACAAUAAGAAAGACAACUAUGGCCAGGUGUGGUGGCUCACGCCUGUAAUCCCAGAACUUUGGGAGGCUGAGGCGGAUGGAUCACCUGAGGUCAGGAGUUAGAGACCAACCUGACCAACAUGGAGAAACCCCGUUUCUACUAAAAAUGCAAAAUUAGCCGGGCAUGGUGGCAGGCGCCUGUAAUCCCAAAUACUCGGGAGGCUGAGGCAGGAGAAUCACUUAAACCCGGGAGGCAGAGGUUGCAGUGAGCCAAGAUCGCGCCAUUGCACUCCAGCCUGGGCAAGAAGAGCAAAACUCCAUCUCAAAAAAAAAAAAAGAGUACUAUUGAUCCAGAGGUGACCAGACUAGCCUCACUGGAGAUAAUAGGUGACAUUAUUAUGCAAAGUGGUUUCAGUUCCCUUGUCUUGUUUUUGGAAUAGUAUAAGAGGCCUACAAUACGAAUAAAUAAGGCCCAUCACAAGCCUCACCAAAGGACAAAACUAAUCCACUUCUGAAGAAGGCUCUUUGUUGGGCCAGAUCAAAUCCUUGGACAGAACUGUACUCUUAAUCUCUGUAGUGAAAGUGGGGGGUAGUUUAAGAAUUUAUUAACCUUCUACCUUGAGCAAUCCCUCAGAAGUAAGAGGUGUCAGGCCUCUGAGCCGAAGCUCAGCCAUUGUAACCCCUGUGACCUGCACAUAUAUGUCCAGAUGGCCUGCAGGAGCCAAGAAGUCUGGGGCAGCUGAAAAACCACACAAGAAGUAAAACAGCCAGUUCCUGCCUUAACUGAUUAACCAACAUUACAACAUUCCACCAUUGUGACCUGUCCCUGUCCUACCUUAACUGAUCAAUCGACCUUGUGACAGUCUUCUUCUGGACAAUGGGUCUUAUCAUCUCCCCACCAUGUACCUUGUGACCCCCUCCUCUGCUAACAAUAGAUAACCACUUUUUACUGUAAUUUUCCAUUACCUACCCAACUCCUAUAAAGCAACCCCUUCCCCAUCUCCCUUCACUGACUCUGUUUUCAGACUCAGCCCACUUGCACUCAAGUGAAUAAACAGCCUUGUUGCUCACACAAA